AACAAAAUUAAACCUAUGGGAUCACACAUAAAGGGAGAAGACCUGGAUUGGAUAUAAUUGGGCUUAUGAAGCAUCAAUUAAUAUGGAUUUAGAGAAGUCCUAUUGAGUUCACGUUAACCUUCCUAGCACCUGGAUGAACCCAAUUUCUCUUAUGGUUAAUUUACUUAUAUGAUAAGUUUUAACCAAUUCCUGCACUUGAUUUGAACCUAAUUGCAUUUGAUUCAAUA
rnacentral:lncRNA from 1 species